UACCUAUCUUCAGCAUAUAGUUUAUCAAUCUGUUAUAGUAUGCCACACCUUUCCAAUUUACUUUCCCAGUUCCAGCUAGGACAGUGAACACCCAUCCAAGAGAAAUAUAAGUUAGUUUGCAUCACUUUCAGAAAUCAAGUCCAAAAUAAUAAAAUUGUACUCGUAGAUUAAGACGAGCAACUUAAGGGAGCUUACUUGGGAAUAUUCUUGACCAUGAGAUUGAGAAGCGCAUCAAAAUGAACGGUUCCUUAAUUUGCUCACCGGGAGUCUUGACGAAGGCGUCCCAAAUGCUAGGGCCGCGGCCAUCCUUGAGCGCCAUGCCCUCCACCUGGUACGCCGACGCCGCCGUCCCGAACACGAACCCCGCCGGGAAGCUCCGCCGGCUCAGCCCGCCCGUGAUCCCGGCCGCCUCCUGAUGAUCGGCGCCGGCGCCGCCGCGAAUGCCGUCUUCGCCCGCAGCUUGCUCCGCCGCGCG
rnacentral:sRNA from 1 species